UACGAGGGGUGCAAGCGUUGCUCGGAAUUAUUGGGCGUAAAGGGUAGGUAGGUGGUCUCGUUUGUCUGGGGUGAAAGCCUUGAGCUUAACUCAAGAAGUGCCCCAGAAACGGCGAGACUGGAGUCCUGGAGAGGGUCGUGGAAUUCCCGGUGUAGUGGUGAAAUGCGUAGAGAUCGGGAGGAACACCAGUGGCGAAGGCGGCCGGCUGGGGGUGACCUGACGCUGAGGCGCGAAAGCGUGGGGAGCGAACCGG
rnacentral:rRNA from 1 species